GCAACGCCGCGUGGAGGACGAAGGUCUUCGGAUCGGUAAACUCCUGUCAGACGGGACGAAGGGUUCAGGGUAAAUAAUCCUGAAUCUUGACGGUACUGUCAGAGGAAGCCCCGGCUAACUCCGUGCCAGCAGCCGCGGUAAUACGAGGGGGCGAGCGUUAUUCGGAAUAUUGGGCGUAAAGGGCGCGUAGGCGGCUUGGCAAGUCAAAGGUGAAAUCCCUCGGCUCAACUGAGGAACUGCCUUUGAAACUGCCUGGCUUGAGGCCGGGAGGGGGUAGCGGAAUUCCCAGUGUAGCGGUGAAAUGCGUAGAUAUUGGGAGGAACACCAGUGGCGAAGGCGGCUACCUGGACCGGUUCUGACGCUGAUGCGCGAAAGCGUGGGUAGCAAACAGGAUUAGAUACCCUGGUAGUCCACGCUGUAAACGAUGGGUGCUCGGUGUCGCGGGUAUCGACCCCUGCGGUGCCUUAGCCAACGCGUUAAGCACCCCGCCUGGGGAGUACGGCCGCAAGGCUG
rnacentral:rRNA from 1 species